GCAGUCGUGGCCGAGAGGUUAAGGCGAUGGACUCGAAAUCCAUUGGGGUCUCCCGCGCAGCUUCGAAUCCUGCCGGCUGCG
rnacentral:tRNA from 1 species